GGCGAGAGGCGGGGUCACCUGGAGGCGGGGUCACCUGGACAGGUUUUCCUCUGGUGGUGAGGAAGGAGGCGAGGGAGGAUGAGGAAGAGGAUGAGGAAGAGGAAUCCUGGGGAGGCCCAGAGUCUCCGGGUCGGGGCAGGAGGAAGAGCGGCUGGUCUUCAUCACCGGCUGGAGCUCCUCUUUCUCCCACCAGCUGAAAACAGAAACAGGCCUUUCUGGGAUGUAGGUGAUCCGUAUGUGCUGACAGCGCUCCCUGUCCUUUGAAUUGAGGAAAUCUGGGAGGUCGUUCACCUGCACAGAGGCAGAGAGACGGAAACGGGAGCCAAGCGUUUAUUUAUUCAGGGAGUUUCACUAACAGAUCGUCCAGGUGAGCUGCUGCAGCCACGAUGGCGCCGUCAGACUCCAGCAGUAAUCCGUCACGUUAGCACAGUCGGGAUUAUUGCUAAGCGUCUGACAUAACAACAAGCUGCGGGAAUCACAGAUUUAGCUGCCAGCUUUCUGACUCUUUAAGUUGUGUUGUACUGACGUUAAACCUGUUUUCAGCUCCUGCACUGGGUCAGUCUGUUUAAAAAUUAUUUACAAUCAGCGACUCGAAUCAUAAUCAGCUUCUGGUUGGAGUCUGAAAAUAGAUUCCUUUUUAUUCCUGUUUGAUUACAUUGAUUGAAAUGUUUUUGAUGUGAGUUUAAAUUAAAUGGCUUGCAGGACAAGAGGCUAACUACUGUUAGGCUAAUGCCAGAGAAUGUGUAAUCGAACAAAAGAGCGAAUCCUGGUUCAUUUAAAAACCUCGGUUUGACCGCUCCAAAAGCAGGAAGUGGACUACAGAGCAGGGCAUUCUGGGUAAAUACAACCUAAAGAAACGCGCUAGCUUAAUGCUAGCAGGAGAAGUGGCUCAUGGUCUUUAAGGCCACUCUGUGUUUCUUUACAUGUUGUGAAGACGGAAGUUGCUCUCAGUGUCUUCAGAGGUCUUUGUGUCGUUUCCUUUAGUGAUUCGUGGUGCAGCGCCCCCACAGGCCAGGAGGGGAACAGGUUUUUCAAAGAGUUUUUUGGUUUGAGAAAGAGAAACACAGGAGCUGAAAAUAUAACAAAUGUUGCAACUUUUGUUCACCAAUCGAAGCGACUGGAUUAUCAUCACUUCUCACUUUCGUCUCUUACUACUCUGCAGUUUUCAUUAUUUGCAUUAUUUCAAAUGUUAACUUCAUGUUCAUCUUUUGUCUUUUCUUAUCUGCAGUUGGUUAUUUCAGAUGGCCGCUUGUACUGAGUCCGGUUCUGGUUCUGCUGGAGGUUCUGUUAAAGGGGAGUUUUUCCUCUCCACUGUCGGAGAGAAUGCAAGUCAACGAUUCAAUGCAAUCUGCUGAGUUUAGAUCAACUUUUAAACUACUUUUCUGAUGACCAGGAUCAAUUGGAAUGUAUGGAUGAUUGAAUUGAAAUGAUUUUUUUUAAAGUGCUUCCAGACAUUUUUUGUGAAUCGGCGCUAAAUAAGUAAAACUGAAUUGAUUUAGACUUAAGCUUUAGAUGCACAAACAUGUUUUUGUUCAACUUCAUCCAAACAUUUUGUGCCAGGUCCAAUUUAACUUGAGAGAAAAACACAAACCAUGAUGCUGCCACCACCGUGCACACAGCAUGCCUUUUACAGGUGAGGCCAAAAUGAUUCACCUUGAAGUCGGUGAUAUGAUCUUUGUGUGACGGCGUGUUAGAGCCGCUAAAGACAAGAGCAAAAUAAGGAGGAGUACAUUUCCAUUCAAAACAUUCAGAAAUUUUGAGAUUCAACUCAGACAUUUUCUAAAAACAAAAGUGGAAAUUUCUGAGCUCAAAGUC